AACCUCCGCAAUGUGAGAAAUCGCGACGGGGGGAUCCCAAGUGCCAUUCUUAACGGGAUGGCUUUUCAUUAGUGUAAAGAGCUUUUGGAAUAAGAGCUGGGCAAGACCGGUGCCAGCCGCCGCGGUAACACCGGCAGCUCUAGUGGUAACAAUUUUUAUUGGGCCUAAAGCGUCCGUAGCCGGUUUAAUAAGUCUCUGGUGAAAUCCUGUAGCUUAACUGUGGGAAUUGCUGGAGAUACUAUUAGACUUGAGACCGGGAGAGGUUAGAGGUACUCCCAGGGUAGAGGUGAAAUUCUGUAAUCCUGGGAGGACCGCCUGUUGCGAAGGCGUCUAACUGGAACGGUUCUGACGGUGAGGGACGAAAGUUAGGGGCGCGAACCGGAUUAGAUACCCGGGUAGUCCUAACUGUAAACGAUGCGGACUUGGUGUUGGGGUGGCUUUGAGCUGCUUCAGUGCCGAAGGGAAGCUGUUAAGUCCGCCGCCUGGGAAGUACGGUCGCAAGACUGAAACUUAAAGGAAGU
rnacentral:rRNA from 1 species